rnacentral:rRNA from 1 species
ACGCUCGACACCUACGUGAGGCAGCAGUCGGGAAUAUUGCGCAAUGGAGGAAACUCUGACGCAGUGACGCCGCGUAUAGGAAGAAGGUUUUCGGAUUGUAAACUAUUGUCGUUAGGGAAGAAAAAGGACAGUACCUAAGGAGGAAGCUCCGGCUAACUACGUGCAGCAGCCGCGGUAAUCUGAGCGGGCUGGCAAGGC